AGCGAACGCUGGCGGCAGGCCUAACACAUGCAAGUCGAACGAACCUUUCGGGGUUAGUGGCGGACGGGUGAGUAACACGUGGGAACGUGCCUUUAGGUUCGGAAUAACUCAGGGAAACUUGUGCUAAUACCGAAUGUGCCCUUCGGGGGAAAGAUUAAUCGCCUUUAGAGCGGCCCGCGUCUGAUUAGCUAGUUGGUUGAGGUAAGGGCUCACCAAGGCGACGAUCAGUAGCUGGUCUGAGAGGAUGAUCAGCCACAUUGGGACUGAGACACGGCCCAAACUCCUACGGGAGGCAGCAGUGGGGAAUCUUGCGCAAUGGGCGAAAGCCUGACGCAGCCAUGCCGCGUGAAUGAUGAAGGUCUUAGGAUUGUAAAAUUCUUUCACCGGGGACGAUAAUGACGGUACCCGGAGAAGAAGCCCCGGCUAACUUCGUG
rnacentral:rRNA from 1 species